CCCAAGAGUCGAUGGGCUUUUCCCCAUUUGAAUUGCUGUUUGGGAGAAGGGUGUGAGGGCCUUUAGACUUAAUCAGAGAGCACUGGGAGGGGGAGAGUAGUACAGAUGGGACACCCAUUCCCAGUUCAGGGACCGCUUGGAGGCAUUAACCCAGACCGUACGGACCAACCUCCAGGCGACCAACAACGCCAGCGCCGCUGGUAUGAUAGGGGAGCCAGGGACCACAGCUUUCAAGUGGGACAGAAAGUUGCGGCGAUAUGCACCUCUGCCUCUGAGGAUCAGGAGAACCUGCCGCUACCUGACCUAUUAGAGCAGAAAGAUCAGGCAGAGCCCUCCACGGGUGUUCAGCAGGGGGAGAGGCUAAGCCCACAGGAGCGAGCCCAGGUACAAGAGUUUAUUGCAGCUAAGGGGGCCACUUUCUCCAAUUUACCUAGGUACACUCCGCUAGCCACUCACCGAGUUGAGCCCCCCGGACAGCUACCUAUGCGGCAGACCCCCUAUCGUAUCCCUGAAGCAGUCAGGGAACAUAUGAGGAAAGAGAUUGAGGAGAUGUUGCAGCUAGGGGUUAUUGAACAUUCCGAUAGCCCCUGGGCAUCGCCGGUAGUGCUGGUACCCAAG